rfam:Planomicrobium glaciei strain CGMCC 1.6846 genome assembly, contig: Ga0070170_113
AUGAGCGCACGGGGAGAGAACGCGAAAGCGUCGCCGAAGGAGCAAAUAACAGCAGUUAUGAAUCUCUCAGGCAAAAAGACUCGUGCGGGACG